UACGGGGGGGGCAAGCGUUGUUCGGAGUUACUGGGCGUAAAGCGCGCGUAGGCGGCUUCUUAAGUCUGAGGUGAAAGGUUCAACGCUUAACGUGAACAGUGCCUUGGAUACUGGGGAGCUUGAGUGUGGCAGAGGAUAGUGGAAUUCCUGGUGUAGCGGUGAAAUGCGUAGAUAUCAGGAGGAACACCCAUGGCGAAGGCAGCUAUCUGGGCUAACACUGACGCUGAGGUGCGAAAGCGUGGGGAGCGAACGGG
rnacentral:rRNA from 1 species